rnacentral:rRNA from 1 species
GACGAACGCUGGCGGCGUGCUUAACACAUGCAAGUCGAACGGUAAGGCCCUUCGGGGUACACGAGUGGCGAACGGGUGAGUAACACGUGGGUGAUCUGCCCUGCACUUCGGGAUAAGCCUGGGAAACUGGGUCUAAUACCGGAUAGGACCAUUGCCCGCAUGGGUGGUGGUGGAAAGCUUUUGCGGUGUGGGAUGGGCCCGCGGCCUAUCAGCGUGUUGGUGGGGUGAUGGCCUACCAAGGCGACGACGGGUAGCCGGCCUGAGAGGGUGACCGGCCACACUGGGACUGAGAUACGGCCCAGACUCCUACGGGAGGCAGCAGUGGGGAAUAUUGCACAAUGGGCGCAAGCCUGAUGCAGCGACGCCGCGUGAGGGAUGACGGCCUUCGGGUUGUAAACCUCUUUCAGCAUCGACGAAGCGCAAGUGACGGUAGGUGCAGAAGAAGGACCGGCCAACUACGUGCCAGCAGCCGCCGCGG